GCUUUACUGUAGCCUGGAAUUGGGUUCGGGCUUCGCUUGCGCAGGAUAGGUGGGAGGCUAUGAGAUUAUCCUUGUGGGGAUAGUGGAGCCAAUAGUGAGAUACCACUCUAGCGAGGCUAGAAUUCUAACCUCAAGCCGUGAUCCGGCUGAGGGACGGUUUCAGGUGGGCAGUUUGACUGGGGCGGUCGCCUCCUAAAGUGUAACGGAGGCGCACAAAGGUUCUCUCAGGCUGGUUGGAAAUCAGCCGUAGAGUGUAAAGGCAUAAGAGAGCUUGACUGUGAGACCUACAAGUCGAACAGGAUGGAAACAUGGUCUUAGUGAUCCGACGGUUCUGAGUGGAAGGGCCGUCGCUCAACGGAUAAAAGUUA
rnacentral:rRNA from 1 species